AAGGAUCAUUACUGAUUGCAAUCGUUGCCUGCUGUGCUGGCCAGACUGGCAAGUGCACGUUGGUGACUUUCAAUCCACUACCCGUGCACCCUUGGCCUCUUGCUAGCUUCGGCCGGCAGAGGAAUUUACACACACUCGAAUGUAAUGAAAUAUAUGUCGUGCGCAAGCACUAAUGUACAACUUUCAACAACGGAUCUCUUGGCUCUC
rnacentral:misc_RNA from 1 species